CCUACGGGGGGCAGCAGUGAGGAAUAUUGGUCAAUGGACGAGAGUCUGAACCAGCCAAGUAGCGUGAAGGAUGACUGCCCUAUGGGUUGUAAACUUCUUUUAUAUGGGAAUAAAAUGUUCCACGUGUGGGAUUUUGUAUGUACCAUAUGAAUAAGGAUCGGCUAACUCCGUGCCAGCAGCCGCGGUAAUACGGAGGAUCCGAGCGUUAUCCGGAUUUAUUGGGUUUAAAGGGAGCGUAGGUGGAUUGUUAAGUCAGUUGUGAAAGUUUGCGGCUCAACCGUAACAUUGCAGUUGAAACUGGCAGUCUUGAGUACAGUAGAGGUGGGCGGAAUUCGGGGUGUAGCGGUGAAAUGCUUAGAUAUCACGAAGAACUCCGAUUGCGAAGGCAGUUCACUGGACUGCAACUGACACUGAGGCUCGAAAGUGUGGGUAUCAAACAGGAUUAGAUACCCCGGUAGUC
rnacentral:rRNA from 1 species